CGCCCGGAUGGUCCCAGGGGCUUGUCAUUUGUCAGUUUCAAAUGUGUAAGUGCUUGGGUUCCGGAGUUAUGGGUUGGCGGCCCAGGGUGGACGACGUUCUCCUUUUCUGUGAUAUGGUGGGAAUCGAACCCCGGUCUCCCGCGUGACAGGUGGGGAUACUCACCACUGUACUAAAGAGGAAGAGGCUGCUACCAGCCAAGAGUCUUUCCUCCACUUUGUCAAAUGUCCCACCCAUGUCAGGCAACACCACCCACUCCCAAGUCCCAGGGAAUGUAGGCUCCGCCCCUUCUAACCUCCAGGGCUUUGCUUGUGUCAAAAAUGAUGAGCUUAAAAUGCAUUUGGCAGUUUUGGAAGCAGUCUGUCUAGGUGUCCUAAAGGUGCACAUAAAACGUGCUUUGCGUCUGGCAGAGCAUUUGCCCAUUCAUGGGACAUUUGCAGGGGAUGAACAGGGCUUGCUUGCCUACAGCUCACACCCUGGCCGACAGGGCUUUGUCAGGGCCGGGGAUUCAUAUACCUUGGGGAGGGAGGUACUCUUUGUGCUUGCUACGGCAGCACACCUACUAAAAUUGGAUCGAUACAGAGAAGAUUAGCAUGGCCCCUGCGCAAAAGGAGGUAAUGGUUCUUCACGGUGGCCAGCGCCAUGUUAAUUUACGAAAAACGGGACGACAGGCUUUUGUGCGACGAAUGUGCGACGAAAACAGACGUGUGUUGUUUCUGCUCCAGAGGCACAUGGCUACUUAAAUAUUCUUCACAACUACUUACAAAGACAUAUAUAGAAUAAUGAAAUUACACAAUCAAGUACUUAUAAA